CGUGUAGGCGGUAUGGCAAGCGGUAUGUGAAAUCCCGGGGCUCAACCCGGGAACUGCAUACCGAACUGCCGUACUAGAGGACAGGAGGGGGAUGUGGAACUCUAGGUGUAGCGGUGAAAUGCGUAGAUAUCUAGAGGAACGCCGGUGGCGAAAGCGACAUCCUGGCCUGUAUCUGACGCUGAGGCGCGAAAGCGUGGGUAGCAAACAGGAUUAGAUACCCUGGUAGUCC
rnacentral:rRNA from 1 species